rnacentral:rRNA from 1 species
UCGAAAGAGAGCCGUAACACAGGUGCUGCAUGGCUGUCGUCAGCUCGUGUCGUGAGAUGUUGGUUAAGUCCCGCAACGAGCGCAACCCUUGUCAUUAGUUGCUACAUUCAGUUGGGCACUCUAAUGAGACUGCCGGUGACAAAUCGGAGGAAGGUGGGGAUGACGUCAAGUCCUCAUGGCCCUUAUAGGUGGGGCUACACACGUCAUACAAUGGAUGGUACAAAGGGUCGCCAACCCGCGAGGGGGAGCCAAUCCCAUAAAGCCAUUCGUAGUCCGGAUCGCAGUCUGCAACUCGACUGCGUGAAGUCGGAAUCGCUAGUAAUCGUGGAUCAGAAUGUCACGGUGAAUACGUUCCCGGGUCUU